ensembl:lncRNA
AAGGGGAGGGAUGGAAGGUAGAGAGACAGAGAGAGAGGAAGGUGAGGGAUGGAAGGUAGAGACAGAGAGAGAGGAAGGUGAGGGAUGGAAGGUAGAGAGACAGAGAGAGAGGAAGGUGAGGGAUGGAAGGUAGAGACAGAGAGAGAGGAAGGUGAGGGAUGGAAGGUAGAGAGACAGAGAGAGGAAGGUGAGGGAUGGAAGGUAGAGAGACAGAGAGAGAGGAAGGUGGGGGAUGGAAGGUAGAGAGAGGAAGGUGAGGGAUGGAACAUAGAGACAGAGAGAGGAAGGUGAGGGAUAGAAGGUAGAGAGACAGAGAGAGAGGAAGGUGAGGGAUGGAAGGUAGAGACAGAGAGAGGAAGGUGAGGGAUAGAAGGUAGAGAGACAGAGAGAGGAAGGUGAGGGGUGGAAGGUAGAGAGGAAAAGGGAG